UACGGAGGGUGCGAGCGUUAAUCGGAUUUACUGGGCGUAAAGCGUGCGCAGGCGGUCCGCUAAGACAGGUGUGAAAUCCCUGGGCUCAACCUAGGAAUUGCGCUUGUGACUGGCGGGCUAGAGGACGGUAGAGGGGGGUGGAAUUUCUGGUGGAGCAGUGAAAUGCGUAGAGAUCAGGAGGAACACCGAUGGCGAAGGCAAUCCCCUGGGCCUGUACUGACGCUCAGGCACGAAAGCGUGGGGAGCAAACAGG
rnacentral:rRNA from 1 species